CACAAUAUCAUCAAAACUUCCUUCGAUGGGUUGGAACAAUUUCAGCUCUAUCCUUCGAGGGGCAUCGAUUACCAAGACGACGUCCAAUGAGUCCCAUAAUCCACCACUGACACCUAGCGAUAUGUAGUGACAAUCCAGUAGAAUGAAAGUGUAAACUUUUAGGUACAGUUAUCAUAUAAUUCAGUCAUUUUAUUGUGAGUUCUGACUUGACAAAGGUUAUGGAGAACUCGUCAGACCCCAUCGUCAGUUAUAUGCUAGAUUGACUCAACUCG
rnacentral:lncRNA from 1 species